rnacentral:lncRNA from 1 species
GUGGUUAAGGGAGUUGUUUGAGGAUUUAUUUGGAAGACUGCUUCAUUCUAUCAUUUCUUUGUGCUUAUCAGUUUGAUAUCCUUACUUAUUCGAGUUUGAUUCCAACUAUGCUGAUGUAGUUAAUUAUGUACAUAUUAGUGUAAUUCAUGUACUUGCUCUUGCCUGAUUCCCCUCUGUAUAAAUGUGUCUAUCUAUUAAUGAAUAUCUCUCUGAUAUCAACGAAUGAGAUACAUUCAAACAGUUAGCUAGAUCUUGCCACUUUACUAUCAAAGGCAACUAACUGAAAAUUUGUAUCUUCACGUUGCAAGAUAAGGGCCUCUGUUGACAGCAUUUCCCUCCCAAAACUGAAGUCCUAUUCAAAUCGGUGCCAAGGUUAAUCUCGAGUCAAGGGAAGCCCCUGAAUUGAUUAAAUAGGUAUGUCCUCCUGCUUUCUUGUCUUUGCAAUACACAUUGUUAUUUCUUUGAUAGAUAUUCAAUAUGUGUCAGCCAUGGUGGAGAAAAAUCUAUUUAAAAUAAAUAAGUACCUAUAGCCUGAAUCACGUGAUGAUUCCUAGAUAUUUAGGUUGGUUUUUCCUAUUUGUAAACUGAGUAGCAACUACCAACAUGCUAAUUUAGGACUUCGGGUUGGAUGUUCGCUCUCUAAGAACUGUUCACCUACAAGCUGUUGCUAUAUGAAUUAUUUUUACUAUUGCAAUUUUUCGUUACGCCAUACCGAGUGUUUCUUUUCUUCUAUUGCAGAAUACUGAAAAAAUAAGAAGUUACCCUUUUAGAAUUUCAACCAUUAUAUCACUGCAUCAUGAUGUUUUGCAAAACACGGUCUAUGGGACCGUAGGAUUUAUAUUCAGGUGAUCUCUUUCAACUCAACAUGAUCAAUGUUGAACGGUGCUAUUUAAUAUGAGCUGGCCAUGACCUCGUAUCAUGCACUGACGGACAUUUUAUUUUUUAAUUCACCUCUAACAUUAGUACCUGUGUGGUUGUAUUUUUUCUAUUCUGAUUAAAUAGUUUUCUGCUUUGUGAGCAAAUGAUCUUUGUCUUGCCGCAAUUGUGAUAGUGUACAAUUUAUCAACUUCUUAUUAUUGCUUAAUGUAAUUUUGGCUCUCAUAUAUUUUUU